UACGUAGGGGGCUAGCGUUGUUCGGAAUUACUGGGCGUAAAGGGCUCGUAGGUGGCCAACUAAGUCAGACGUGAAAUCCCUCGGCUUAACCGGGGAACUGCGUCUGAUACUGGAUGGCUUGAGUUUGGGAGAGGGACGCGGAAUUCCAGGUGUAGCGGUGAAAUGCGUAGAUAUCUGGAGGAACACCGGUGGCGAAGGCGGCGUCCUGGACCAACACUGACACUGAGGAGCGAAAGCCAGGGGAGCAAACGGG
rnacentral:rRNA from 1 species